ACAAAAAGCAAAUCUUUAGCUAUUACAUUUUACACUGCUUUAUGUUAUAGUGGGAAGAUUAGUCUGAGCUUUUCCCCUUUACACAGGAAAAAAACAUAAUUUUAAUGUAUACUGAGUCAACGAUUACCAGUUGUGUUACAAGAGAUUCAGAAAUAUACACACACUUCAAUACCAAAUAUGGGUAUGACCAGCAUAGAAUAGAUAUCUUUCUGUAACCAGAAUAGACCGCAGUGCUAUGGAAUAGGCUGCAUUAUUUUUGCACUUCUGCUAUCACCUGCACUCUGCCCCCACCAACCUGCUUCUACCAGGUCUACUUACAAUGUGCCUAAUGUCUGAGCAGCUUUCAGAUGUCAGGCUCCUAUUAUUUAGAAAGGCUAUUACUAAAAAUGUUACAUCUCCCCUACCAACAGGGUGGUCGGACCCUGGAUGAGGUUGGAGCACAGAUUAUUAGUCCAAUGUCCAGGACUACAGAGUUUUAAGAUCAGAUGUCUCACAAACUACUCAGACAAAUGAUGCUGGAGCUGGAAUUCCACUCUUCAACAGGAUACAAAUCUGUCUCUGACUCUGGCACAGCAGAAACACUAGGGCCAUGACACCUGGAUUUAUCGAAAUAUACUCUUCUUUUUUAAGAUCAUUCGCUGAAAUUUUUACCGCUUCAUACUAAUUUCUCUCCCUGCCCAUACAGCUGCACUCAUGUUAAUAGGGCAAUCUUUCUAUACAGGCAGUGAGAUAUGAAAAAACUAGUACUAGAAGUUUUCAAAGCUUCCUAACACUUUUCUAAAGAAGUUCUUCUGUCAGCAUUGU